rnacentral:rRNA from 1 species
UAGGGAAUCUUCGGCAAUGGACGGAAGUCUGACCGAGCAACGCCGCGUGAGUGAAGAAGGUUUUCGGAUCGUAAAGCUCUGUUGUAAGAGAAGAACGAGUGUGAGAGUGGAAAGUUCACACUGUGACGGUAUCUUACCAGAAAGGGACGGCUAACUACGUGCCAGCAGCCGCGGUAAUACGUAGGUCCCGAGCGUUGUCCGGAUUUAUUGGGCGUAAAGCGAGCGCAGGCGGUUAGAUAAGUCUGAAGUUAAAGGCUGUGGCUUAACCAUAGUAGGCUUUGGAAACUGUUUAACUUGAGUGCAGAAGGGGAGAGUGGAAUUCCAUGUGUAGCGGUGAAAUGCGUAGAUAUAUGGAGGAACACCGGUGGCGAAAGCGGCUCUCUGGCUUGUAACUGACGCUGAGGCUCGAAAGCGUGGGGAGCAAACAGGAUUAGAUACCCUGGUAGUCCACGCUGUAAACGAUGAGUGCUAGGUGUUAGACCCUUUCCGGGGUUUAGUGCCGUAGCUAACGCAUUAAGCACUCCGCCUGGGGAGUACGACCGCAAGGUUG